UGUACAUAGUGCUACCAAAGCCUUUGGGAG
rnacentral:piRNA from 1 species